UACGGGGGGGGCAAGCGUUGUUCGGAAUUACUGGGCGUAAAGGGCGCGUAGGCGGUGCAUCAAGUCAGGCGUGAAAGCCCCGGGCUCAACCUGGGAACCGCGCUUGAGACUGGUGCGCUCGAGUUCGGGAGAGGAUGGUGGAAUUCCCAGUGUAGAGGUGAAAUUCGUAGAUAUUAGGAAGAACACCAGUGGCGAAGGCGGCUCACUGGUCCGGUACUGACGCUGAGGUGCGAAAGCGUGGGGAGCAAACAGG
rnacentral:rRNA from 1 species